GCAUGGAACAAGUUAGUGAAGCAUUGAAGGUCCCUAAGAUGUUUCAAGACUUUCAGGCCUAGAAAAUAUAUUUCUCUUCCUGGCAGCAAAUUCAAAAAUCAAAAUUUCGUGUGUAAGUCAAAUAUCGAAUUUCCUGUAUACAGCUAUUUCAAUUAAAGUUGUCCCCCGAGCAAAGCGGAAAAGUCGAAUAGCAGCGCGAAAGGCUGCUGGGAUUCGCUAAUACAUGAAUGAAUUUAU
rnacentral:lncRNA from 1 species